rnacentral:rRNA from 1 species
CCUACGGGAGGCAGCAGUGAGGAAUAUUUGUCAAUGGGCGAGAGCCUGAACCAGCCAAGUCGCGUGCAGGAUGACGGCUCUAUGGUUUGUAAACUUCUUUUAUACGGGAAUAAAGUUAGGAACGUGUUCCUUUUUGUAUGUACCAUAUGAAUAAGCAUCGGCUAACUCCGUGCCAGCAGCCGCGGUAAUACGGAGGAUGCGAGCGUUAUCCGGAUUUAUUGGGUUUAAAGGGUGCGUAGGCGGUUAAUUAAGUCAGCGGUGAAAGUUUGUGGCUCAACCAUGAAAUUGCCGUUGAAACUGUUGGACUUGAGUGUAGUUGCGGUAGGCGGAAUGUGUGGUGUAGCGGUGAAAUGCAUAGAUAUCACGCAGAACUCCGAUUGCGAAGGCAGCUUACUAAACUAUAACUGACGCUGAGGCACGAAAGCGUGGGGAGCAAACAGGAUUAGAUACCCGAGUAGUC